AUUUGAUAUGAGAUGGAAGUGGGUGGAUUCUAGCUUAUUGCUUAAGCUUGUAAAUAGGCACAAAGUUAUAGUCCACCCACUUACAUCUCACUAAUCUCGAAAAAUGUGCC